UCUCCUGGAAACGGGUGGUAAUGCCGGAUGCUCCAGUUGGAUGCAUGUCCUUCUGGGAAAGAUUCAUCGGUAUGGGAUGGGGUCGCGUCCUAUCAGCUUGAUGGCGGGGUAACGGCCCACCAUGGCUUCGACGGGUAGCCGGCCUGAGAGGGCGACCGGCCACAUUGGGACUGAGAUACGGCCCAGACUCCUACGGGAGGCAGCAGUGGGGAAUAUUGCACAAUGGGCGCAAGCCUGAUGCAGCGACGCCGCGUGCGGGAUGACGGCCUUCGGGUUGUAAACCGCUUUUGACUGGGAGCAAGCCCUUCGGGGUGAGUGUACCUUUCGAAUAAGCACCGGCUAACUACGUGCCAGCAGCCGCGGUAAUACGUAGGGUGCAAGCGUUAUCCGGAAUUAUUGGGCGUAAAGGGCUCGUAGGCGGUUCGUCGCGUCCGGUGUGAAAGUCCAUCGCUUAACGGUGGAUCCGCGCCGGGUACGGGCGGGCUUGAGUGCGGCAGGGGAGACUGGAAUUCCCGGUGUAACGGUGGAAUGUGUAGAUAUC
rnacentral:rRNA from 1 species